GACGAACGCUGGCGGCGUGCUUAACACAUGCAAGUCGAACGGAAAGGCCCUGCUUUUGUGGGGUGCUCGAGUGGCGAACGGGUGAGUAACACGUUAGUAACCUGCCCUUGACUUUGGGAUAACUUCAGGAAACUGGGGCUAAUACCGGAUAGGAGCUCCUGCUGCAUGGUGGGGGUUGGAAAGUUUCGGCGGUUGGGGAUGGACUCGCGGCUUAUCAGCUUGUUGGUGGGGUAGUGGCUUACCAAGGCUUUGACGGGUAGCCGGCCUGAGAGGGUGACCGGCCACAUUGGGACUGAGAUACGGCCCAGACUCCUCCGGGAGGCAGCAGUGGGGAAUAUUGCACAAUGGGCGGAAGCCUGAUGCAGCAACGCCGCGUGCGGGAUGACGGCCUUCGGGUUGUAAACCGCUUUCGCCUGUGACGAAGCGUGAGUGACGGUAAUGGGUAAAGAAGCACCGGCUAACUACGUG
rnacentral:rRNA from 1 species